GAGAAUCCCGUCACUGGUCACUCAGUGUUACUGAUGGAGUGUGUUGCCUCCUUCAGGAGCGCCGGGGCAAUGUCAAGUUUGGGACCCACUGGUCUGGAUCAUCUCAAAAGUCCCUUCCAGCUCUGACACCAAUUCUAAAACUUUCUUGUUGCUAUGAAGAUGAUUCCAGGCAUGAAUGGUGGGAAAUAAGCACCGUCACCAGAUUCUUCCCUCCAGUCCAGCGCUCCUGUCAUCGUGGGCUGCAGUCCCUUCCUUCCUGUUACACCCAGUUCUCAAAGAUGCCAGCUUCUAUUUAAGGUGCUGCAUAUUUUCUUCCCCUGGCUGCCUCCAUUUUCCACCACCCCAAUCACCACAAAAUUUAUGAAAAUGAACAAUAAACAAAAACUUUGGAAUGAUACCUCCUACUUUCUACAGUUCUUUUAAAACAAUCAGACAAACAUAAGAAACAUAAUUAGCUAGUUCAUUGUGAUAGGCUUUUUGAAAUGUGGUUUUUAUCUACCACUUAAUUGACACAAAAUAUUUGAAACUUUUUGCUUAUUGGUGAGCACUCCGGAAUACUUCCCUCCAAAUUCUAACCUUGGCAUCUUACUUGGGCAAUUAUUAAACCUAAGAAUUGCAAAGAAUAUCUAGGAUUUCCUUUUUGAAACUGACUUGAUAAUGGCAAGACAAGGGUCUACCUCAGGUUUUUUGUUUGUUUGAUUGAUUGAUUUUCAUUUGUGUAGGUGUCUUUAUCUAGUGUCUGACAGUAUAACAGGUACUUGGACACAGAUAUUUGCAUUUUCUGAGUAGCUCACAAGCUGUCCGACAUUAAAACCCAAGUUGUGAUUCAGUGACAAAAAUAUGUUUUAAAAGUCUGUCUUCUUUCCUACUUGGGAAAAUUCCAGGCUGAACUACUUGGCUUUAAAAUAAUUAUACAGUACUUUUCAAAAAAUUAUUUCUGGCCUCUGUAUUGAAGACAUCGUGAUUCAAUUAAGGAGGAAAUAUUCACCAUCUAUUUUUCAGUGGAGGGAAAGAUUCAUUAGAUCAUAUCUAUAUAUGCUUUGAGCACUUCAGUGGCCAAGAAAUAUAUUGUAACAAUUUCAUUAAUAUUCAUCAUUGUCCACAUUAGAAUGUUUGCAUAAGCUUCAUGUUCAAAAUAAACUAUUUUAAGGCUGAAAUCAAGCCAUAUACAUCUAGUGGCAUACUCUGAAGCAAAUUCUACUAGUAUGUUCUUGAAGCAAAGAAAUUUCAGCUGAUCAUAGCAACAUAACUUUAAAACACUGAAUUUCACGGAAGCUUUUCUCUCUCAGAUUUACUUUUGAGCCCAAACUAAGCAAGAUAAAUUAGAUACCCAAAGGUGUUUUUCUGAGAAAAUUAUCAGAAAAUGAAAAAUAGAGGUAAGCUUGCCAUGGCCUCAGCAACCUUAACUGGAGCAUCACUACUGCUGUCUCCUAAAUUAGAUUUUCAGCGAGGUCUGCUACUGCUAUUCAGGGCUUGGCCCUGGUACAUCAUGUGCCAUGGAACUGCACACAGCAGAACAACAAUUAGAUCAGCUCAGGGGGAUGUGUGAUUCUGUACUAAAGUUGUUAGGUUUGGACUAUAAACAAUAUUAAAUGGUAGAUCAUAAGCUGAUCCUGAAUUUGGUUUCUUUAAGGCACUCUAUUUUAUUUUGAUCUGGAGGCAGCAUUGCACCUGCAGAAUGGUUCUUGGGGGACUGGGAAUUGGAUCGAAUAAGAAUCACCUGGGAAGUUUGGCUUGACAAGUGGUGUGUAUGUCCAUACCCGAGAUCUGAACCAGCGAACCCCAGGCCUCUGAAGUGGAACGUGCAGACUUAACCACUGUGUAUGGGCCAGCCCCUAUAAACGUUUUCUUAACUGUAUUAUAUGAUGGGAUUCUUUUCUGCUGGGAAACAGGAAAAAUGUGAACAACUGUGAAAAUGUUCUGAUGUCCUGAGAGAUCAUUUACUAAAAUAGAGAAAAGCCUAGAAAAUGAGUAGGCCUGAAAUGCCUAUUCUAAAGCCCAGAGGCAAUUACUGAAUUACCAGAUCUGGCAUCUGAUUUUAUUUAUUUAACUUUAUGAAUCCAUAAUGAUGACUCCUUCACUGAUAAUUUUACUACACCUAUAUUCUUCAGACCCAGUUUAGUAAUGAGAAAUAGAAAAGGCACAAGGAGAAAAUGAAACCCUGAAGAUAAGAAAAGGAAGGAGAAAAGUUAACGAUGGAGAGGUGUUGUCAAUGACCUCCAGCCAAAGACCACCAGCAAUGCACUAGAGUUGAACAGGUUGAAUGACUCAUAGCAACAAAGGAAAAUGCCCACCAUGGAGGAGGGCAGUGGGAAAGGACAUCUCAGUAAAAUGGUGUUAGAAAGGAUUGGGGCUUGUGUUAUAUGAUUUGGGGGAAGUUUCAAGGACUCAGGUCUUUGUUCUGAAGUGAUACUGUCAGGAACUGGCACUAUUAUUAUGAUUGGGUAACUAAAUAAAUCUCUAGAAAGAGAGAAAACUAGACAAAAGCUAAAGUUGUAAGUAAGUAACUUUUUUCAGUUUUCUAUUGGCCAAUCAUUAACAUCAGCCAGGAUAGGGCAAUGUUAGGUCAUUUUUGAUGCUUGGUUACUAUUCACAUUUUUGUCUCUAUUCAGACCUGGUUCUGGAGUGAUCUUACUUUUGCCUUGAUCCAUCACAGUCAUAGUGGCUUUGUUUGGUCUUAGUGUUUUGUAAAAUUGUUUAUACUCAACAGGAGAAGGCUAGCAGUGAGUGCCAGUCCUAGCCCCUAGUGGCCAGGAAUGCUAAUCUCUCUCUCACUACGAAGUGAUACUGGUAAGAAGUGGUGAUUUGUCCACCUAAAUAGUAAUAGUUUAUAAGAGUAAAUCUAACGUAGAGAGAGCACUUAUUAUAUGGCAAGCACUGCUAAUUACUUUAGUGCUAUUCCAUUUAAUCUUACAAACAACUCUAUGAGGUAGCACUCUAUUUGUCCUCAUUUGUCACAAGAAGAAAUUCAGUCAUGAAGAGCUUGAGUUCCUUGUCCCGGGUCAUAGGGCCACUAGGUUGUGGAGCUGGUCUGUUUGAUUUCAAACCCUAGAUUCUAAAACACAGUGUCAUGCUCCCACGAACAAACAAGUGAAUUAACAUUCUGUUUCCAUGGUCAGCUUCAAUAUUUUGAAAAAGCAAUUUUUUUGUGGUUAAUUAUUAUUCAAGGGCCUUGCUCUCCUCCCUGAUGCUCUUCUGAGCCCUCCAUCGCUAAAGCAAUUUAUAACUUGUACCAUGGCCACAGUGUGCAAGAUGCAAAAGAGGAAGACCAAUUUGUGUAAUUCUAUGUAAAAAUUGGCCUAAAAAGUAGGGUUGCUAGAUUUAGAGUGCUGGCACAUGCAGGCACACACACACACAAAUAUAGGAUGCCUAGCUAGCUUUGAAUUUCAGAAAAAUAGCUAAUACCAUAUUUUGGAUAGGUAUGCCCCAAAUACUGCAUGGGACAUACUUAUCCUAAAAGAUUAUUUGUUGUUUAUCUGAACUUAAAGUUAUGGACAGCUAAUUUUUGACAAAGGAGCUAAGAACAUGCAAUGGAGAAAGGAGAGUCUCUUCAAUAAAUGAUGUUGGGAAAACUGGACAGCCACGUGCAAAAGAAUGAAACUAGACCAUUAUCUUAAACCAUACGCAAAAAUUAACUCAAAAAAUAUUAAAGGCUUGAACGCAAGACCUGAAACCAUAAAGCUCCUAGAAGAAAACACAGGCAGUGUGCUCUUUGACAUCAGUCUUAGCAAUAUCGUGAUAUGUCUCCUCAGGAAAGGGAAACAAAAGGGAAAAUAAACAAGUGAGACUACAUCAAACUAAAAAGCUUCUGUGCAGAAAAGAAACUAUCAACAAAAUGAAAAGAUAACCUACCAAUUGGGUGAAGAUAUUUGCAAAUCACAUAUCCAAUAAAGGGUUAAUAUCCAAAAUAUAUGAAGUCAUACAACUCACCAACAACAAAAAACAAACAACUCCCUUGAAAAAAUGGUCAAAGCAUCUGAACAUUUUUACAAAGAUAUACAGAGAGUCAAAAGGCACAUGAAAAGAUGUUCAACAUCACUAAUUAUUAGAGAAAUGCAAAUCAAAACUACAAUGAGGUGUCAUCUCACACCUGCAAGAAAGGAUAUUAUUAAAAAGACAAGAAAUAACAAGUGUUGGAGAGGUGCAGAGAAAAGGAACCCUCAUACACUGCUGGUGGGAAUGUAAAUUAGUGCAGCCACUAUGGAAAACAGCAUGGAGAUUGCUCAAAAAAUUAAAAAUAGGCUACCAUAAGAUCCAGCUAUUGCACUUCUGGGUACUUAUUCAAAGAACACAAAAACACUAAUUUGAAAAGAUGUGUGCACCCCUAUGUUCAUUGAAGAAUUAUUUACAAUGGCCAAGUCUUGGCAACAAUCUAAGUGUUCAUCAACAGAUGAGUGGAUAAAGAAAAUGUGAUAUAUACAUAAAAUGGAAUACUACUUGGCCAUGAAAAGAUGAAAUCUUGCUAUUUGCAACAUGGAUAAAACUUGAGGAUAUUAUGCUAAGCAAAAUAAGUCAGAUGGAGUCAGAUAAAUACCAUAUGAUUUCACUCAUAUUUGGAAGAUAACACAACAACAAAAACAACAAACAAACACAUAGGUACAGAGAACAGAUUGGUGAUUACCAGAGGAGAAGGGUAGUGUAGUGAAAGGGAUAAAAAGGGGACAUUUGUAGGGUGAUGAAUGAGAGCUAGACUUCUGGGGCUUAACACGAUAUAGUCUGCACAGAAGUCAAAACAUAUGACGUACACCUGAAAUUUGCAUAAUGUUAUAAACCAAUGUUACCUCAAUUAAAAAAAAUAGCUAAGUGUCCCGCAUUUUAACUGGCAGCCUUACCCUAAAAGUUUAGUGAAACUUAAAAUUUUCAACCAUGAAAUUAAUUUCCUUUUGCCAUCUUCCUUGCCAUGAGAAGAAAGAGAUAAUUUACGUACUCCUUCAGGCUGAACAUUUUACCAUACUUAUUUCUGUAUUCCACACAUUAGGCAUAGGUAGUCUUCAGAUACGUAUUUUAUUUGUUGAGGUCAAAAUAGCUUAUAACAUUGUGAAAUUUCAGUUGUCCAUUGUUGUUUGUCUGUCACCAUAUAUAUGUGCCCCUUUACCCCUUAUGCCCACCCUCCAACCCCCUUCCUCUCUGGUGACCACUAAUUUCUUCUCUUUGUCCAGGUAUUUGUUUAUCUUCCACAGUGAAAUCAUAUGGUGUUUUUCAUUUUCUCUCUGGCUUAGCAUAAUACCCUCAAGUUCCAGUGAUGUUGUUGCAAAUGGGACGAUUUUGUCUUUUUUUAGGGCUGAGCAAUAUUCCAUUGUAUAUAUAUACCACAUCUUCUUUAUCCAUUCAUCACUCAAUGGGCGCUUGGGUUGCUUCCAUAUCUUGGCAAUUGUGAAUAAUGCUGCCAUGAUCAUAGGGGUGCAUAGUCUCUUUGAAUUGCUGAUUUCAAGUUCUUUGGAUAAAUACUCAGCAGUAGGAUAGCUGUGUCAUACAGUAUUUCUAUUUUUAAUUUUUUGAGAAAUCUCCAUACUGUUUUCCAUAGUGGCUGCACCAGUUUGCAUUCCUACCAGCUGUGUAUGAGGGUUCCCUUUUCUCCAC
rnacentral:lncRNA from 1 species